GAUGAACGCUAGCUACAGGCUUAACACAUGCAAGUCGAGGGGAAACGAUAUUGGAAGCUUGCUUCCGAUAGGCGUCGACCGGCGCACGGGUGAGUAACGCGUAUCCAACCUGCCCAUCACUUGGGGAUAACCUUGCGAAAGUAAGACUAAUACCCAAUGACGUCUCUAGAAGACAUCUGAAAGAGAUUAAAGAUUUAUCGGUGAUGGAUGGGGAUGCGUCUGAUUAGCUUGUUGGCGGGGUAACGGCCCACAAAGGCGACGAUCAGUAGGGGUUCUGAGAGGAAGGCCCCCCACAUUGGAGCUGAGACACGUUCCAAACUCCUACGGGAGGCAGGAGUGAGGAAUAUUGGUCAAUGGACGAGAGUCUGAACCAGCCAAGUAGCGUGCAGGAUGACGGCCCUAUGGGUUGUAAACUGCUUUUAUAAGGGAAUAAAGUGAGAGUCGUGACUCUUUUUGCAUGUACCUUAUGAAUAAGGACCGGCUAAUUCCGUGCCAGCCGCCGCCGUAA
rnacentral:rRNA from 1 species